GGAAAUUUUAGGUUGUUUGAAGGAUCUCCCUGGAAACGGUAAACCAGAGAUGACUCCCAGUGACCAAGUUGCUGUUCGUGCGGUGAUGGAUGACAUAAUGUCGGAAGUUAAGAAUAACGAUGAUAUUAAAGGGCUCUUAAACGGCAUUUUAUGUAAGGUGGUAAGUAAGACAUUUUAUUUAUU